rnacentral:rRNA from 1 species
GUUGGGUAGGGGAGCGUUCUGUAAGCCUGUGAAGGUGUGUCGUGAGGCAUGCUGGAGGUAUCAGAAGUGCGAAUGCUGACAUAAGUAACGAUAAAGCGGGUGAAAAGCCCGCUCGCCGGAAGACCAAGGGUUCCUGUCCAACGUUAAUCGGGGCAGGGUGAGUCGACCCCUAAGGCGAGGCCGAAAGGCGUAGUCGAUGGGAAACGGGUUAAUAUUCCCGUACUUGGUGUUACUGCGAAGGGGGGACGGAGAAGGCUAUGUUGGCCGGGCGACGGUUGUCCCGGUUUAAGCGUGUAGGUGUGUGUUCCAGGUAAAUCCGGUUCACUUUAACACUGAGGCGUGACGACGAGGCACUACGGUGCUGAAGCAACAAAUGCCCUGCUUCCAGGAAAAGCCUCUAAGCAUCAGGUAACAUCAAAUCGUACCCCAAACCGACACAGGUGGUCAGGUAGAGAAUACCAAGGCGCUUGAGAGAACUCGGGUGAAGGAACUAGGCAAAAUGGUGCCGUAACUUCGGGAGAAGGCACGCUGACACGUAGGUGAAGUGAUUUACUCAUGGAGCUGAAGUCAGUCGAAGAUACCAGCUGGCUGCAACUGUUUAUUAAAAACACAGCACUGUGCAAACACGAAAGUGGACGUAUACGGUGUGACGCCUGCCCGGUGCCGGAAGGUUAAUUGAUGGGGUCAGCGCAAGCGAAGCUCCUGAUCGAAGCCCCGGUAAACGGCGGCCGUAACUAUAACGGUCCUAAGGUAGCGAAAUUCCUUGUCGGGUAAGUUCCGACCUGCACGAAUGGCGUAAUGAUGGCCAGGCUGUCUCCACCCGAGACUCAGUGAAAUUGAACUCGCUGUGAAGAUGCAGUGUACCCGCGGCAAGACGGAAAGACCCCGUGAACCUUUACUAUAGCUUGACACUGAACAUUGAGCCUUGAUGUGUAGGAUAGGUGGGAGGCUUUGAAGCGUGGACGCCAGUCUGCGUGGAGCCGACCUUGAAAUACCACCCUUUAAUGUUUGAUGUUCUAACGUGGACCCGUGAUCCGGGUUGCGGACAGUGUCUGGUGGGUAGUUUGACUGGGGCGGUCUCCUCCUAAAGAGUAACGGAGGAGCACGAAGGUUGGCUAAUCCUGGUCGGACAUCAGGAGGUUAGUGCAAUGGCAUAAGCCAGCUUGACUGCGAGCGUGACGGCGCGAGCAGGUGCGAAAGCAGGUCAUAGUGAUCCGGUGGUUCUGAAUGGAAGGGCCAUCGCUCAACGGAUAAAAGGUACUCCGGGGAUAACAGGCUGAUACCGCCCAAGAGUUCAUAUCGACGGCGGUGUUUGGCACCUCGAUGUCG